AUUAUUUAUAAUUACUUAAAGGUUAUUGGAAAACGUGCCAAAGGAAACGAAAAGAGAGAAGAAACCCUCCCCUGGUCCAGCCGUUCGACGCCGUCACUUCUUUUUCUUUCCCAUUUUUGUUCGCACCAUUGUGAAGUUCGGCCACCGGCGACUCGUAGCCGCGCCUCCAUCUCAUUCGACGUCCACCGCACGUCAGGUCUCUCCCUCCCCUCAGUUUUGUGCGUUCCACCCCAGGUCCCAGCCGCACGCCUAGCCGCUUGUCCACACAGGUCAGUGCCGUUUGUCGCUCAACUUCUGCCUCCACCAGCCGCGUCUUGCCGAGUUUGCCAGCCGCAAGCCUAACCCAAGCGCCGUCUGCCAGUCCUAACGCGGACAAUUCCGGUUGUCGUCGGAUCUUGGUUGGUUCCGUCUGAUCUUUCCGUUUGGGGAAUCUAGUGGUGGUGAAGGAAGUUGCCAAACAAAGUGAAAGUUCGUUUGGGGCAGUUUGGUGCCCUUAGGUAAAGGUAAAGGUAGAGAUAGAUCGGUGCAUGACAAGAGAGAUCCGUGACCUAGUCAUUUGAACGAGUCAUUGCUUCCUUGCUUAGGUUUCAUUUUGCUAGUGUCUAGUCUAGGGGCUAGGCGUAUUAGAAACCUAUGGUUACUCCAUAAUUUCAUUUAUUUAUUUAUUUGCUAUUUAUUUUCAAGUUAGGUCAGGGGUAUCUUGAACAAUAAACCGUUUUGUUUUGUAAAUUCUCUGUUUUUCUUUUGUAAGUUCUCUUCCUUAUUCCGUUGAGUUUUAUUUAAUGUAAUAACUUUAUUUAUUUAUUUUUCCUUUAUCUCUUUCACCUAAACAUCGUUCGAGAAAUGUAUUGUCAAGCAUAUGCAUGUAUAGAGUAGCGUCCUAGAAAUAUAUUAGAAACUAGGGUCGUUACAUAAAAUAUCCUUACCUCUAAAGUUUAUUCCAAACCUCAUGUCCGCGAUAUCAGUUCUAAAGGUAUGAUUAUAAAAUUUCAAUUUUCAUCUCAUUCUUUCUACAUUUGUGGCAUUAUUGUUGAUGUUUUUUUUUUCACCGUUAGGAUUAUUUAGAGUGGCCUUUUUGAUGAUGCGCAUAACAAAGUCCUUAACAUUUAUGUACGGUGGCUGAACUGUUCCUACCCAUACACCCUAGGGAGAGUCGAUAAUAAACUUAAAAUUGUUGAAAAUUUGAGGGUUCUUCAAAAAGACAAUGAGAAACUCAUAAUCUAAAACUAUUGUCUCCAAUGGUUUCCUCGCAAGCUCCCUUCUUAGUAUGUUUUUUUUUAAAAAAAAUAAUAAUAAAUAUUGUGCAUUUUGAUUUUUAAUUCCUCUGUUUCCCAAUAUGCAGUCAGUUCAUGAAUUUUUUUUAAUCCAUCCAACCUUCAUUGUGUAGGAUGACAUUGUUCAAAUUUUUCCUUCCUCAAGACCUUCAGUUUUUGUUCCAUCAAGCGUGUUGGGGAUGAGAGGGUGAAAGUCUACGAGAGUUAUCUUAGUUACUUCUUGUGAUAUAUAGUAGGUACAUACCUUGGAUUUCAUAUUCGUCGAACGUGGCUUUAUGAGUUGUGUUUUGUUUUGAAUGUGUGUUAGGGGUAAAAAAGUUUGGAAAAUUACCUU